rnacentral:rRNA from 1 species
UACGGGGGGGGUAAGCGUUGUUCGGAAUUACUGGGCGUAAAGGGCUCGUAGGCGGCCAACUAAGUCAUACGUGAAAUCCCUCAGCUUAACUGGGGAACUGCGUGUGAUACUGGAUGGCUUGGAUUUGGGAGAGGGAUGCGGAAUUCCAGGUGUAGCGGUGAAAUGCGUAGAUAUCUGGAGGAACACCGAUGGCGAAGGCAGGUCUCUGGGCAUUAACUGACGCUGAGGAGCGAAAGCAUGGGGAGCGAACAGG